CCAUUUUAAUAUUCAAAACCACGUCAUUGAAGAAUGAAAACAUCACACGCUUUUGUAAUACGAGCGCCGGAAUAUGCGCAUCAGUACGUUGCGCUGUUACCGCGGCACUACGGACAGAGUAAUCACUAUUGCAAUGCUGGCUGUGAAGACUGCACUCGUUCUAACGCUCGCACUGACAGCCAUGGUAGAGGAUAUCUCAACUGCGGGAGGUCCGAGAAUCCCAAGGUGUGCGUACAUGCCUUGCCGUGGACGAAGGGACCAGCUAUCCUGCUGGCCUAGUUGCCGAUGUGUCCGGACAUCCCCGGUCGGCAUAUACACCUGCGUCCUACGUUAGCUUGAUCUGUGGGUAACUACAAGCUACCUUAUCGAGAUCCCAACUUUAUGGGUAGGAAAGCUAAAACAAUAAAUAUCACUACGACUCUUCAGAUAAA